rnacentral:rRNA from 1 species
AUUGAACGCUGGCGGCAGGCCUAACACAUGCAAGUCGAGCGGAUGAAGGGAGCUUGCUCCUGGAUUCAGCGGCGGACGGGUGAGUAAUGCCUAGGAAUCUGCCUGGUAGUGGGGGAUAACGUCCGGAAACGGGCGCUAAUACCGCAUACGUCCUGAGGGAGAAAGUGGGGGAUCUUCGGACCUCACGCUAUCAGAUGAGCCUAGGUCGGAUUAGCUAGUUGGUGGGGUAAAGGCCUACCAAGGCGACGAUCCGUAACUGGUCUGUAGGGAUGAUCAGUCACACUGGAACUGAGACACGGUCCAGACUCCUACGGUAGGCAGCAGUGGGGAAUAUUGGACAAUGGGCGAAAGCCUGAUCCAGCCAUGCCGCGUGUGUGAAGAAGGUCUUCGGAUUGUAAAGCACUUUAAGUUGGGAGGAAGGGCAGUAAGUUAAUACCUUGCUGUUUUGACGUUACCAACAGAAUAAGCACCGGCUAACUUCGUG